GAGCCAGACUCCUACGGGAGGCAGCAGUGAGGAAUAUUGGUCAAUGGGCGGAAGCCUGAACCAGCCAAGUCGCGUGAGGGAGUACUGCCCUAUGGGUUGUAAACCUCUUUUGUCGGGGAGCAAAAGCCGGACGUGUCCGGCUGUGAGAGUACCCGAAGAAAAAGCAUCGGCUAACUCCGUGCCAGCAGCCGCGGUAAUACGGAGGAUGCGAGCGUUAUCCGGAUUUAUUGGGUUUAAAGGGUGCGCAGGCGGAUUUUUAAGUCAGCGGUCAAAUCGUGGGGCUCACCCCCAUCCAGCCGUUGAAACUGGGGAUCUAGAGUGUGCGAGAGGUAUGCGGAAUGCGUGGUGUAGCGGUGAAAUGCGUAGAUAUACGGAGGAACACCAGUGGCGAAGGCGGCCUGCUGGACAUUAACUGACGCUGAGGCGCGAAAGCGUGGGGAGCAAACAGGAUUAGAUACCCGUGUAU
rnacentral:rRNA from 1 species